CAUCAAUUAUAAACCAUAAAGUUACAAAUUUAUACUUGUAACCUCGAUUCCUUCUAUUUGUAUGCUUAACUUUGUCUCCUCCUUUAACAGUUAACUCAUAAGUUGGUUUCGAGAGACCAUUCUUAAAAUCGCUGGGUUGAAUCAAUCCUCUCCAUAUUUCCAUAGGGAUGUCCUCGGACCUUUUAAUUCUGAAAAGGAAAAAAAAAAGAAAAGAAGAUAAACUCAGCUCAACAUAGAAGCAUAAUAAAAUUGACAACUUGGAGAAAAUAAAGCCUAGAAAUGACAACAAACAAUAUCACAAAGCUGUCAGGAAUUUCAAUAAUACUCAAUUGAAAUAAUCAACACAUCCACACAAAUUCAAACCCAAUUACAUGAAAUAAUAUAUCAAUUAAUAUUAUUUGGCUAAUGAUCCACUUCAUAUCCAUUUGAUUAUCAACAAACAUCGUGUUAGUUAAAAUUUUAGUUUAAUCGGCUUAGUUAACAUGGAAGAUUGGUUUUCAACAAAGAUGUAGGACAUGGAUCACCAAUCUACAUGAGACUAUGAGANNNNNNNNNNNNNNNNNNNNNNNNNNNNNNNNNNNNNNNNNNNNNNNNNNNNNNNNNNNNNNGAAAUAGCUUAAGCACACAGCCAUACACCAAAAAACCAACAAAGAGCCUAGCCACACCCAGUGCACAGAAAUGAAAAAAUAGGUCCUGACUUACAAAAAACACAGAAAUAAACUGUGAGGCACUCAGCACCAAGAGCAAGUUCGAACCCAGCCAGAGAAACAAACCAAUAGUCACGAAAAAACCAGCACUACCUAACAAAACAAAAUUGAGGUUCACAAGACCAUUCAUAAAGAAAACAAGGCAUAAUUUGACAACUGCUAUAUAAAUCAUAGUCAUACUUAAUAAGGCAUACUUUGACAAUAUUUAAUAGUCAUACUUUAACAUGACAAUCAAUUCAUUUACUUACAAUUUUAUCGGCAACAAGGGGUGUUUCUUUUGAUGUGUACUCUCCUGAUGAUGUUUUUUGGCCCCUUAUGCACUUCUCAUAGUGUUUUGUUGGUGUAGGUAUUUAUUACAAGCCUGAAACAAUUUUCCCCUCUCUUGUUUCUCCUGUUAUAAAUAACACACCAGAAACUCUUAACAAUAAUCACUUGGUUUCAACUAUAUAUAAAAAUAUAAAACACAAUUCAUGUAAAUACAAAACAUAAUUAAGAGAUAGUUAGAUAAGAGUUAGAUAAUGCUGGAGUAGUUUUGGCUACAAUAAAUGUAUGCAUAUAUAGUGUAUUAAUGUUGGAAAUUUACAUGAAUAUAAGAGCUCAAUAUCCUCUGGAAUGAAAUUUACUUUAUAGUGCUUCCGGUGUCAUGAUCGAAGGAAAUUUUGUGCAUAAAUCCCAACUAUUGACUACACUUUCCUGUUUCAUCAAAAUGAUCAUUAUUUAGUGUUUUGAGAUCCAAAGUAUAGAGGUAUUUUACAAGAAACCUCACCUCUACCGCGUGAAUUGCUUUUCUGACUUCGUCAUUUGUAACAGAGCCAUCCUAAAGAUAUCGUUAGAUUGUGUUACUUGUUUUUGGCAAUAAUCAAGCAAUGAAAUCAAUUAGUAGCUAACAAGUAGAUAUUAAAUAAAUGGUAAAUAUAGAAACUUAGAUAGUAGUAAAGAAACAUAUUAUCCGAGGAGGUGUUUUGUGCAGGACAACCAUUGUCCGAGGAGCUGUUUUGUUCAAUUCUUCCCGAACAUGAUAUUCAAGGCGACUCCAGAUAUCAAAGCGCCAUCACUGCAGAAAAAGCUUCUACCCAACAAAUCCCACUUAGACAUAUAUUUUCAACAACCAAAUUCAUCAUCAAUACAAGUAGCAGACUUAAACCAAGAUGUGAUAAGGGACCUUGUUCAACUAAUCCACAACAUAAAAAGUAACCAAUUCAAGUCAUGCAUACUAUAUUUCAUAAAUUAGCAAGUAUAUACAAGUUAAUUAAGAUAUGCAUAUCAGUAGCUACAAAACUAGUUACACUGAGAUAUCAUUAGACUCUUUCAAGUGUCUGUUUCCUUAGAAAUUAUUCCUUUUCCUUAUAAUUCAUUAAUCAACCAACAAAUACACAUAUUUGGUACAUAUAUUUUAAGCAAACAUCAAUCACAUGAUCAAAGUCAAGAAAACAGAAACUUUUUAUCUUAUAUCAGCAAUUAUAUUUUUAAGUAAAAUCCAUCAUUUCUUAUUUAGACUCAUAUAAGGCAUGCGGUUCCUAACCAUUUCUUCCACUAAUCAAAUGCUGAAAUUUCAAACAUUAUAGGCCUAUAGUUCCUGAUCUCUUCAAACAUUAAAUUUAAUCAUACCGCCAACAUCAUCCUACAUGCAAGAUCAAAAAAAUCACUUAACACUUUAGAUAGAACCCACAUAAACACAAGAAGAUGAAUAGCCAUUCCUUAAUUAAAUUUCACUUAAAUUUAACUAUCAAUUGCUCAUAUGAUCAAGUAAUCAAUUGCUCAAAUGAUCAAGUACAAGGUGUACAUAGAUAAUUGCAAAAAGCUACAAUCAAAACAAAAUAAGAACCAAAGUCUGACUUGCUCUAAAUAUAAGUAAAACAACCCAAAAGCUAUUAUACUAGAAGAGCAAAAACAGAAUUGACACAUAGUGUUAUACCACAGGGCGAAAUAGCAACAGAAGCACUACACACCAUAUAAGUAGAAAUAGAAAAACUAGUAGAAAACAGUCCCUGCAUAAAAACCAAUGACACGUACGGCAGAAACAAAGACAUUGCGAAAAUAGAACCGUCACCUGAGGAGUGGAGUAUGAUAUAUGGUUGUUUGUUCUUGUCUUGUCUGGCUUCUAACAGAUACAAAGUUUGUUUACUGUGUUGAAUCAAUGUAGAUGUUGUCAUGAGGAAGAUAGAAUCCGGAGGAAAUUUCCCUAAAAAUAUAAGGGAAAGAACUUGCGUGAGGAAGAAAAAUAUUGCACAACAAAGUCUACCAAGAAAAAUAUUGCACAACAAAGUCUACCAUGAUAACAAAGUCUACUUACAGAGCAUCUAUUUGGAAUUAAUAACAACAUUAGGACCUAAAAGGGGCAUUUACUUGAAUCUGCAAGUACUUAACAUAGCCAUGUAAAUGUGACAACACCAGAAUUUUGGUGCAAUCCAAACUGAGUCAAGUUAAGUAAAUAGAAAUGUGAACUUCCAAAAGGGAACUCAACAAUAAUGUAGAGGAUGCUUCUAAACUUGAAACAAUAAACAACCAAAUACUCAGUGGUAAAACAUACAGGACACACUCUAACUCAAUCUACUCUAGCAACUUCUAACACCUUGUAAAACACACCUAGCAGUCAAUAAAGCAGAGUAGUAAAAAUACUCUCAUAAUAUAGUGCACAUGUAAAUUGACACCCACAAACAACUCUUAAUUGAUUUGGCAAUGUAAAUUGAACAUUGCACUGAAUUGAAAAUCAUAUAAUGUAACAGGGGAUGGUUAUAACUGAAUUAACCUUGUUCUUUUCAUUUGUGUAAAUAAUCAAAGAAAGAAAGAAAAGGACUUGAAGAAAUUUGGUUUCAAAUUUAGUUUUUUAAGUGUAUUAUUAUUAUUUUCUUUUUUAAGAAUCUUCUUUUCCCAACAAGUUAAAUUGCAGCACAGAAACGUCUCUGCUUAUUGAAACUAAACCUAAACUAGAUUAUAAAAUAGACGAGAAAACAAAUCGAAGCUUAGAAAACAAUAUCAACACAUAAAAUUGAAAUAAAAAACAGUUGGGAGCUACACACUGAGAAAAAGAUAGAUACCUAUAGGUUAAGAAGUGUCGAUAGAUGAAGAUGAUGAGAAAGCUACAACGACUGAAUGCGAAGAUGGCGGCAACGGCGAAGAGGACCCUUGAAAACUCUGAGCGCACAAUGAAGCGAAACAAAAGGGGAAAUUAGAAUGAGAAUCCAUUGAAUAAUGAAGAUAAACCAAAAUCGAAAUGGAAAGUGACCUAUCCUUUGGAAAGAUAUGGUGAGACUGUGCUUCGUCGUCGUNN
rnacentral:lncRNA from 1 species